UACGUAGGGUGCAAGCGUUGUCCGGAAUUAUUGGGCGUAAAGGGCUCGUAGGCGGUUUGUCACGUCGGGAGUGAAAACUCAGGGCUCAACCCUGAGCGUGCUUCCGAUACGGGCAGACUAGAGGUAUUCAGGGGAGAACGGAAUUCCUGGUGUAGCGGUGGAAUGCGCAGAUAUCAGGAGGAACACCGGUGGCGAAGGCGGUUCUCUGGGAAUUACCUGACGCUGAGGAGCGAAAGCAUGGGGAGCGAACAGG
rnacentral:rRNA from 1 species